UGUAUUUUGGAAAAUUUUUAUCAAUUAAUCAGUGACAUAUACAAAACAUCUUUAUAACAAUAAAAGGCUAAUAAACACUGUUUUUAUCUAUAUAAUAAUUUUUGGCUGAAAAUUAAAAAGGUUGUGAUUCUGCGGUAUCUGUUUUUUUAGAACUGGAUCUUUAUGAAUUUCUUUUUUCUCUCUAGAUGAAAUUCCAGCUGAUGUAGCAUUGAUGGUAUUUCAUUGAAUGUCAAAGAUUCUUAAGCACAGGCAAUAAUGAACUUAUGUAUAUAAACUCAUUUCAUCAUUCAUGUAUAAAUUUGUAGGAUAAUACUCCACUACAGUAGGUUACAGGCUGCCUACAGCCUACUACAUAGAUUUAUGCUUCAGAACCUGGAAGAAGAUACAGUUACACCAAAAGACAUAAGAGAGUUAGUCCACACUAUGUGUUAUGAGUCAUUUUUCCAGUUUGAAAGUUAAUAAUACAGACAGAAAGAGGGUAUACCAAUAGAUAGCCUAAUAGCAGGGCCUUUAGUAGAGUUGGUUAUAAGAAAUAAGGAAAGGAAGAAAGAUAAUGAAUACGUUUGAAGAGAAUUAUGUUUUAUAUGAGAGCUAUGUAGAUGAUCUGAUGGUUAUGUGGAGAAAUGACAUUAAGAUCAAAGAAUUUGAGAAGGCCAGUAUAGACAGACAUUUUAUGAACUUGGUUAAAGUUAGACUAAAGAAACAUCUCAGAAAUCCAUUAUCUAUUUAUAGAAAUCACCACGAUGACAGUGAACUAUAACACUAAAGUUUACCAAAAGCCCAAUAUAAGAAGGGUAAUCAUCCCUAGGUGGACUCUAGACCUCUUUAAAUACAAGAAGGCAGCAUUUAGGACAUAUUUUAAAAGGGCCUUAUCCUAAGUAGCAUGAUUGAGUCUUAAAAGAAGAGAGAAGAAGAAUAUAUGAGACAGGAUUUAGACACUGGUACACAAGAUCUUAUGUAAGAACAAUUCAGGAGGCAGCAGAAAAGAUUAGAGAAGUUCCUAACAGAGAUAUAGAUGGAGAAGAGUGUAGAAAGAUCAGAGGAAAUCAGAAAGGAGUGUAUCAUAUAUCAUAUGUCAAAGAGUAAUAUAAUCAGAAAGGCCAUUAGGAGACAGAAUAGAAAACCAGUGAUAGAGAGCCUACAAUCUUUAACAUACUGAGGAAUGAUAAAGAUGAUCUAGAAUGGGCUGAAAAGUCUAGGGUGUAUACCAUAUUGAUAAUAGAUAUAAAAAUGGGAAAAUAAAGAAUAUAUAGGAGAGAGAAAAAAAUGCCUGCUAGGAAAAAGACUGACAUUCUAGAAUUAUUUAUGAGAGUGAUGUCAGCAUACAGUGGGACAAAGCAAGGGUGAUUAACAAAAUCACUGAAGGGAAGAUAGAAUAUCAGCAGAAGCUCUCCAAAUGAUUUCCAGAUGAUAAAAAGUGAAAGGGAAGAAAUGGCCAUCAAUGAGGACAUUUUAUAAAAAGCUGCAAAAGUGUGGUUAUACACUAUAGCAAAAAGGUAGAUGAAGGGCUCAAACUUAAAAGUUCAUUAUACGAAAAUUUAGAUUUUGAUAUUAAUGCU
rnacentral:lncRNA from 1 species